GGGGAAUAUUGCACAAUGGGCGAAAGCCUGAUGCAGCGACGCCGCGUGAGGGAUGACGGCCUUCGGGUUGUAAACCUCUUUCAGCAGGGAAGAAGCGAAAGUGACGGUACCUGCAGAAGAAGCGCCGGCUAACUACGUGCCAGCAGCCGCGGUAAUACGUAGGGCGCAAGCGUUGUCCGGAAUUAUUGGGCGUAAAGAGCUCGUAGGCGGUUAGUCGCGUCUGCUGUGAAAACUCGAGGCUCAACCUCGGGCUUGCAGUGGGUACGGGCUGACUAGAGUGCGGUAGGGGUGACUGGAAUUCCUGGUGUAGCGGUGGAAUGCGCAGAGAUUAGGAAGAACACCAGUGGCGAAGGCGACUUUCUGGACAAUAACUGACGCUGAGGCUCGAAAGCGUGGGGAGCAAACA
rnacentral:rRNA from 1 species